rnacentral:rRNA from 1 species
AUUGAACGCUGGCGGCAUGCCUUACACAUGCAAGUCGAACGGCAGCACGGGAGCAAUCCUGGUGGCGAGUGGCGAACGGGUGAGUAAUAUAUCGGAACGUGCCCAGUCGUGGGGGAUAACGCAGCGAAAGCUGUGCUAAUACCGCAUACGAUCUAUGGAUGAAAGCGGGGGACUCGCAAGGGCCUCGCGCGAUUGGAGCGGCUGAUAUCAGAUUAGGUAGUUGGUGGGGUAAAGGCCUACCAAGCCUGCGAUCUGUAGCUGGUCUGAGAGGACAACCAGCCAAACUGGAACUGAGACACGGUCCAGACUCCUACGGGAGGCAGCAGUGGGGAAUUUUGGACAAUGGGCGCAAGCCUGAUCCAGCAAUGCCGCGUGCAGGAUGAAGGCCUUCGGGUUGUAAACUGCUUUUGUACGGAACGAAACGGUUCUCUCUAAUACAGAGAGCUAAUGACGGUACCGUAAGAAUAAGCACCGGCUAACUACGUGCCAGCCGCCGCCGUAACAC